CGAAUGCUGACAUAAGUAACGAUAAAGCGGGUGAAAAGCCCGCUCGCCGGAAGACCAAGGGUUCCUGUCCAACGUUAAUCGGGGCAGGGUGAGUCGACCCCUAAGGCGAGGCCGAAAGGCGUAGUCGAUGGGAAACAGGUUAAUAUUCCUGUACUUGGUGUUACUGCGAAGGGGGGACGGAGAAGGCUAUGUUGGCCGGGCGACGGUUGUCCCGGUUUAAGCGUGUAGGCUGGUUUUCCAGGCAAAUCCGGAAAAUCAAGGCUGAGGCGUGAUGACGAGGCACUACGGUGCUGAAGCAACAAAUGCCCUGCUUCCAGGAAAAGCCUCUAAGCAUCAGGUAACAUCAAAUCGUACCCCAAACCGACACAGGUGGUCAGGUAGAGAAUACCAAGGCGCUUGAGAGAACUCGGGUGAAGGAACUAGGCAAAAUGGUGCCGUAACUUCGGGAGAAGGCACGCUGAUAUGUAGGUGAAGUCCCUCGCGGAUGGAGCUGAAAUCAGUCGAAGAUACCAGCUGGCUGCAACUGUUUAUUAAAAACACAGCACUGUGCAAACACGAAAGUGGACGUAUACGGUGUGACGCCUGCCCGGUGCCGGAAGGUUAAUUGAUGGGGUUAGCGCAAGCGAAGCUCUUGAUCGAAGCCCCGGUAAACGGCGGCCGUAACUAUAACGGUCCUAAGGUAGCGAAAUUCCUUGUCGGGUAAGUUCCGACCUGCACGAAUGGCGUAAUGAUGGCCAGGCUGUCUCCACCCGAGACUCAGUGAAAUUGAACUCGCUGUGAAGAUGCAGUGUACCCGCGGCAAGACGGAAAGACCCCGUGAACCUUUACUAUAGCUUGACACUGAACAUUGAGCCUUGAUGUGUAGGAUAGGUGGGAGGCUUUGAAGUGUGGACGCCAGUCUGCAUGGAGCCGACCUUGAAAUACCACCCUUUAAUGUUUGAUGUUCUAACGUUGACCCGUGAUCCGGGUUGCGGACAGUGUCUGGUGGGUAGUUUGACUGGGGCGGUCUCCUCCUAAAGAGUAACGGAGGAGCACGAAGGUUGGCUAAUCCUGGUCGGACAUCAGGAGGUUAGUGCAAUGGCAUAAGCCAGCUUGACUGCGAGCGUGACGGCGCGAGCAGGUGCGAAAGCAGGUCAUAGUGAUCCGGUGGUUCUGAAUGGAAGGGCCAUCGCUCAACGGAUAAAAGGUACUCCGGGGAUAACAGGCUGAUACCGCCCAAGAGUUCAUAUCGACGGCGGUGUUUGGCACCUCGAUGUCGGCUCAUCACAUCCUGGGGCUGAAGUAGGUCCCAAGGGUAUGGCUGUUCGCCAUUUAAAGUGGUACGCGAGCUGGGUUUAGAACGUCGUGAGACAGUUCGGUCCCUA
rnacentral:rRNA from 1 species